UGAACCUCUCACUCAUGGACAGACUCUCUAGGGCUGCUUUCUUGUUCUCUGGUGGAACUGAGUAGCUGCAACAGACACCUCCUGGCUUGUAAAGUCUGAAAUAUUUAUGACCUGUCUCUCCACAGAAAAGCUUGCCAGAGCCUGCUUCGGGUCACCACUGAGUCACUACAGAGAACAAGUUAGAGUCACGAGCUUCAGAAUGGGUCAGAUCAGAACUCUGGAUCCCAGGUUCACCUCAACUUCAGGCACCUGUUAG
rnacentral:lncRNA from 1 species